CCCGCCGGAGGCCAUUGCUAUCAGGGUUUGACUAAGCCAUGCGAGUCGAGAGGUGUAAGACCUCGGCAUACUGCUCAGUAACACGUGGUUAACCUGCCCUAAGGUGGAGAAUACUCCCGGGAAACUGGGGCUAAUGCUCCAUAGUGGAUAUGUCCUGGAAUGGUAUAUCCUCGAAAGAUCCGUCGCCUUAGGAUGGGACUGCGUCCGAUUAGGUUGUUGGCGGGGUAACGGCCCACCAAGCCUUUUAUCGGUACGGGUUGUGGGAGCAAGAUCCCGGAGAUGGAUUCUGAGACAUGAAUCCAGGCCCUACGGGGCGCAGCAGGCGCGCAAACUUUACAAUGCGAGCAAUCGUGAUAAGGAAACCCUGAGUGCCUGUCGAUGCAGGCUGUUCAUAUAUCUAAAUCAUAUGUGAAGAAAGGGCAGGGCAAGACCGGUGCCAGCCGCCGCGGUAAUACCGGCUGCUCGAGUGAUGGCCACUAUUACUGGGUUUAAAGCGUCCGUAGCUUGACUGUUAGGUCUCUUGGGAAAUCUUCGCGCUCAACGUGAAGGCGUCUAAGAGAUACCGGCAGUCUUGGAACUGGGAGAGGUAAACCGUACUUCGGGGGUAGGAGUGAAAUCUUGUAAUCCUCGAGGGACGACCUAUGGCGAAGGCAGUUUACCAGAACAGCUUCGACAGUGAGGGACGAAAGCUGGGGGAGCAAACGGGAUUAGAUACCCCGGUAGUCCCAGCCGUAAACAAUGUGCGUUAGGUGUGUCGGUAACCACGUG
rnacentral:rRNA from 1 species